AGAAUCAACGCUGGCGGCGUGCCUAACACAUGCAAGUCGAACGAGAAAGUGGAGCAAUCCAUGAGUAAAGUGGCGCACGGGUGAGUAACACGUGACUAACCUACCCUUGAGUGGGGAAUAACUUCGGGAAACCGAGGCUAAUACCGCAUAACACCUACGGGUCAAAGGAGCAAUUCGCUUAAGGAGGGGUCGCGGCAGAUUAGUUAGUCGGCGGGGUAAUGGCCCACCAAGACGGUGAUCUGUAU
rnacentral:rRNA from 1 species